AGGACGAACGCUGGCGGCGUGCCUAACACAUGCAAGUCGAACGGAGUUAUUGUUAGAUCCCUUCGGGGUGACGAACUUUAACUUAGUGGCGGACGGGUGAGUAACGCGUGAGUAACCUGCCUCUGAGAGGGGAAUAACGUUCUGAAAAGAUCGCUAAUACCGCAUAACAUAUUGAAGUCGCAUGGCUUUGAUAUCAAAGAUUUUAUCGCUCGGAGAUGGACUCGCGUCCGAUUAGCUUGUUGGCGGGGUAACGGCCCACCAAGGCGACGAUCGGUAGCCGGACUGAGAGGUUGAUCGGCCACAUUGGGACUGAGACACGGCCCAGACUCCUACGGGAGGCAGCAGUGGGGGAUAUUGCGCAAUGGGGGGCCAACCCUGACGCAGCAACGCCGCGUGAAGGAAGACGGUUUUCGGAUUGUAAACUUCUUUUGUCAGGGACGAAAUUUGACGGUACCUGACGAAUAAGCUCCGGCUAACUACGUGCCAGCAGCCGC
rnacentral:rRNA from 1 species